rnacentral:rRNA from 1 species
AACGAACGCUGGCGGCAGGCUUAACACAUGCAAGUCGAGCGCCCCGCAAGGGGAGCGGCAGACGGGUGAGUAACGCGUGGGAAUCGACCCAUCUCUACGGAAUAACGCAUGGAAACGUGUGCUAAUACCGUAUACGUCCUUCGGGAGAAAGAUUUAUCGGAGAUGGAUGAGCCCGCGUUGGAUUAGCUAGUUGGUGGGGUAAAGGCCUACCAAGGCGACGAUCCAUAGCUGGUCUGAGAGGAUGAUCAGCCACACUGGGACUGAGACACGGCCCAGACUCCUACGGGAGGCAGCAGUGGGGAAUAUUGGACAAUGGGCGCAAGCCGGAUCCAGCCAUGCCGCGUGAGUGAUGAAGGCCCUAGGGUUGUAAAGCUCUUUCACCGGUGAAGAUAAUGACGGUAACCGGAGAAGAAGCCCCGGCUAACUUCGUGCCAGCAGCCGCCGUAAAAC